CAUCGGGUGCCACCUCGCCUCUAUCCCUCCUCUCGUGUCUCUUCUGCUUCCCAUCCUCCGCUCGCUCUCCUCCGUGUGAUGGCGAGGAUGAAGUUCCGCAGUGGCUUUUAGUACCCUUGCCCUAGCCCAUGGCCAUGGGCAACCAUAUCGGCAGCGACGCAGGCGAGGCGGGCGCAAGUUCGAGGCGUCGAUCUGGUGGAGGAGAGCUCGGACUCCUCCAUUGAGAUGUGGACCGAACGAAGGGGACGCAUGGUCUUGGUGGAGGAGCGUACUCCUUCUCCACCUAGGGUGCCACUGCUAGAUUCACCAACGCCACCGCCAGGAGCUCCAAUCCCACCGCCGGCUGCUCCAGCCGAACCACCCACAGUGAAGAUCUAAGGUAACGAAUUCGUGUAGCACCGAACCUAGGGUUUGCUCGUAGAUCGAAUCCUUCUUGAUCUAAAAAUUUCGGUAUUUAUUCAUGAGAUGUCUUGCAAUAUUGUGAUUCUUUGAUGUGCCUGUGGAUUGGUAUGACAAGUUCUAUCCUAAAAUCAGUGAAAAAUGUACUGAGCAGGUUUGGGGAUUUGGGGAAAAAAUUUGGCGUACUAGCAAUGUAGGAGUUAUGCCAUUAAGUUUGAUGCAUGUAAUUUGAACACUCAUAUGCACAUAUGUGUGCUCAAAUUGGUUGUAUGUUGAUCACUGCAAGCCGGCAUGCUAUCCUGAUAUUUUAUUUGGUAUAGUGCCGAGUUGACUAUGUUAACAUAAUAACAUUACAUAUAAAGAGGAUAUCUAAUUAGCAAAUUUGGCUUGUGGGUUUGUUUUGUUUCACUUUUUCAUUGGGUUAGCCUAAUCUUGAAUUGGGGGAACGGAACUUAUUUUGACUCAAUUAAUUUCUCUAUCCAAGUCAGCAGUGUUCUGUGAGUUAAACCCUCAUCAUGUCUUUAGCUAUAACAAGAUUGAUAGUCUGAACUUUAGUCAUUGAGACAUCAAUUUUAUAACUCUUAAAAUUUCUGCUUGAUGUAGAAUGGUACAAACAACUUGUAGACCUUGAUGUUUUCAUUAGUGGGCUAUGAUGUAUACUUGGAACAUAUCGACAUAGCUUUGGAGCCUCAGGUCCUCAAAUUAUUCUACAGUAUGGAAAAAAAUAAAUUGCAUGUUGAACUUUCUAUGCUUUAGUAUUUAGGAAUUUUCAUUACCAUCUAAUGUUCUGAUCAAUAUUGUAAUUUUGGUGAUUUCAAGCAACCUGAUAUAUAGAUAUGGUUAGGUUAUAGCAACUUUUGGUUCUUGUAAUUCUGAUAGUGUACUAUGUACAAUUUGAACUCACAUUUGAUUGUUGGAAUUUUUUUUGGCAGGAUAUUUAGGAUGAUGAGGAGCAAUCUGCCUCAUCGUGCAAAGAACCUGCUGCAAAGGACCUAUAAUAUGUACAGUUAGGCUAUAGCUAGUCUUGGAGAUGUGUAAUGUAAUGACUACUGAAAUGGGUUGGAUGGCAGCUGUUAUGUAGUUAGGGAAGUUGAUAUGGCUGGUGGAUGUUAACAUAGCAUCUUUUGGUUCUUUUGGUCAAGUAUGUGAUGACAUGCAAGUAGGUUUCUUGCCUCAAAUGGUCUGUUUUUGUUGUCCAUAUGACCAAGGUGAUGAUACUACCUCUAAUUAUGUAAGCGGAACCUUGUGCUUGUUUAGUGAAAGGAUGCAGCUGUCAAGUCUAGAAGCUCAUUUUUUGUUGUGAUGCAAACAUGUAUGUGAUGAAUUGUCAUACAUAAUUAGUUGCCAACUGUGGGCUAUUAUUAGCUGCCGUUAUCAG
rnacentral:lncRNA from 1 species